rnacentral:rRNA from 1 species
AGACGUAGGGCGCGAGCGUUAUGCGGAUUUAUUGGGCGUAAAGGGCUCGUAGGCGGUUAUGUAAGUCGGGUGUGAAAACUUGUGGCUUAACCCUGAGAGGCCAUUCGAUACUGCAUUGACUGGAGUUCGGUAGAGGAGUGUGGAAUUCCUAGUGUAGCGGUGAAAUGCGCAGAUAUUAGGAGGAACACCUAUUGCGAAGGCAGCACUCUGGGCCGAUACUGACGCUGAGGAGCGAAAGCGUGGGUAGCAAACAGGAUUAGAUACCCCAGUAGUCC